ACGAACGCUGGCGGCGUGCUUAACACAUGCAAGUCGAGCGGUAAGGCCCUUUCGGGGGUACACGAGCGGCGAACGGGUGAGUAACACGUGGGUGACCUGCCCUCAGCUCUGGGAUAAGCCCGGGAAACUGGGUCUAAUACCGGAUAUGACUUCAUGACGCAUGUUGUGGAGUGGAAAGCCUUGUGCGGCUGAGGAUGGGCCCGCGGCCUAUCAGCUUGUUGGUGGGGUGAUGGCCUACCAAGGCGACGACGGGUAGCCGGCCUGAGAGGGCGACCGGCCACACUGGGACUGAGACACGGCCCAGACUCCUACGGGAGGCAGCAGUGGGGAAUCUUGCGCAAUGGGCGAAAGCCUGACGCAGCGACGCCGCGUGAGGGAUGACGGCCU
rnacentral:rRNA from 1 species